CACGUAGGGUGCGAGCGUUGUCCGGAAUUAUUGGGCGUAAAGAGCUCGUAGGCGGUGUGUCGCGUCGGCCGUGAAAACCUGCAGCUUAACUGUGGGCGUGCGGUCGAUUCGGGCAUCACUGGAGUUCGGCAGGGGAGACUGGAAUUCCUGAUGUAGCGGUGAAAUGCGCAGAUAUCAGGAGGAACACCGGUGGCGAAGGCGGGUCUCUGGGCCGAUACUGACGCUGAGGAGCGAAAGCGUGGGGAGCGAACAGG
rnacentral:rRNA from 1 species